rfam:Hordeum vulgare subsp. vulgare, WGS project CAJW01000000 data, contig: morex_contig_279513
GUUAUACUCCCUUCAUCCCAAAAUAAGUGACUCAAAAAUGAUUCAAUUUUGUACUAAAAUGAGUACAAAAUUGAAUCAUUUUUGAGUCACUUAUUUUGGGACGGAGGGAGUACAUG